GCCGUGGUGGUGCAGUGGUCAGCACACCCGAUCCCGUAACCUACGUUCUCUAAAGUCGCUCGUUCACCUAAGAUCCUAAUACACUCUCUCAUGGAUCGGGAGGCCGUUGGUUCGAAUCCAACUCACAGUG
rnacentral:tRNA from 1 species